UUACACCUAAAGAGGUCAAAAAACUGAAUGAGCUAUUCAGAAAACUCGGCAGCACAUUAGUCGACGAUGGCUUCCUCAAUAGAGAUGAAUUUAAACUCGGAUUGUUUCAGGACAGCAAGCAGCAGUCUGUUAUUGCUGAUCGGGUUCGUUACUUAUAUCAUUUCCUUUAAUAUAUAUAUAUAUAUAGGGUAUUCAUCUAUCAAAAUACACCCUUAAGUACAAAAAUACAGACCAAAUCUAGAGCGUAGGAUCUGACUAUGGGCGGCCACGAUUUAGGCUUGACAAUCAUUUUGUUAUGUGAUAAUAAGAAUGAAUGGAGUCAUAAAAGGGUAAAAAUGGAAACAAAAAAAAAUAUGAACAGACGUUCCGUUUUUUCUUCGCGGUAAUCAUGGGAUCAUCACUCCACACGCCAUUAACCUGAUUGUUAGGUUCCCGCCUAUUCACUUCGUCUCUCCCACCACAAUAUAUCUAACUCCCCCCAAAAAAACCCCAAUCACCAAAAUCAAGCAUUACAUCUGUAAUUUCUAAAGCAGCACAACCUUUACGAUCACAGCAAUGGUGAAUACUCGAGCAUCUGGAUCUGCAACGACCGACUGAAAAGGUUAGAUGUUUGUAGUAUCCCAUGGCUUAUACCCCUUUCAAAUACAUCAAAACUAAAAGGGUUUUUUUUUCAACCAGUGUAUGAAAGGAGGAACACUAAAAACAAGCCACCACUGAUCCACAAAGCUCAAACCGGGAAAUUGUUUUCCCCUUCUAGUUUAUUUAAUGAGUUAAUACUAAAUCAAUUUUGGGAGCACCGUAUGUAAUUGUGAUAUUGUUCAUAAACAGAAGCCCAUUCUGCAUCCAAACCAACAACAGAAGCAUGCGAGUGUAUGCAUGACAUAAAUCCAUAUUAUUAUGCUUAAUUUGUUUUAUUCUUGUGCCGCUGCACUCUGAAAAAGUCAAAAUAAAGAGAUACAGAACAGAAAAAUAAUUGCUUGGCUACGAGGCAUAUUUAUGUGAAUUUUUAAAUGUUAUGUUCAAAGCUAAUGUGAUUAUGUUUCAGGGCAAUAGAUUUGGGCAACUCCGACAACCACGGCCCAAUAAUUGAGGAUGAAGAUGAGUUGGAGAACAACAGACAAUGCAAAAGAUAGUGGUGUUUAUUUACUUAGACACCUUGAAGUCUACAUGGGUGAAAGGGAGGGACGAUGGAAUUGUGGACUAACGACAAAGAACAAAGGUGUGCUACAGUUUUUAAGAGCUAAAUACAACCGUGUGUUUAUGUUGGCAGGAAUUAAUCAUAAUGCGUUACUGAAUAAAGAUGCGGCAUAUAAACAUUAUGCGAAGGAAAACAAGAAAACCAAAAUCAACGUAGAACACAUGAUAGCAAACUACGGAUCGGUGCAAAUGUAUAUUGCGUAGGUUAAAUAAGUUUUUCAUUUUGUUCGUUUCUUUGUUGACACUGUUACCCUUGUUUUGGAAUUGCGUUUUACACAGCUCAUGCAUAUCAAACACAACGUAAAUUGUUUCACCUAUAAAUUAUGAAUUUUUUGAGAGCAAUUCCAUCUUAUUGUUUUCCUAUUGGAAGUGUUUUUUCGAAAACUGGUGCUGUAAACAGUAACCCAUAUAUUGAGUCAUAAUAGAGUGCAUAUGUAGGUCAUAACAUUUAUAGUAAACAAUGUGUCAUAAUAAGAAUAACACCAUAAAUCAAACACAACGUUAAACUGUUUCACCUAUAAAUUAUGAAUUUUUUUAGAGCAAUUCCAUCUUAUUGUUUUCCUAUUGGAAGUGUUUUUUCAAAAACUGGUGCUGUAAACAGUAACCCGUAUAUUGAGUCAUAAUAGAGUGCAUAUGUAGGUCAUAACAUUUAUAGUAAACAAUGUGUCAAAAUAAGAAUAACACCAUAAAUCAUUACCUAACACUAUUGGGACCCAAACGAACUACCUAAACAACAGUACGAUCGACACAAAAAUAAUUAGGUGUGUAACAAAUACAGUACAACAAGCAUGCAUUUUUUAAGUGGAAUAGAUUUCAAGCAAUCCACAAAAAUUAUGUAGAAUAAUAGACAACCAUUUGGGUCAUACUAAUUGAUGUUAUGCGUCAUAACAACAAUAUGUUAAAAUAAGGUGAAACUAUAACUACAUUCAAAUGUUAAGACUAUGCAUAACUACAUUCAUUGGAAUACGGUAUGCAAAUUCGACGGAGUAUUGGAUAAGAAUAAAUUAUGGGCUAAUACACUACACUAGAGAGCAGUUAGAGGAGAGAAUACGAUGCAAAAUUAUAGGAAUUAGUAUAACUAACUAUAUAAAGUAAUUUACUUAAUUAACCUUUUUAGAUUAUAAAUAAUGGCCGUUAUUUAAUCUAAUCUUAAGAUUAGAUUGUCUAAUCCAAUGGACAUAAAACGGUCUGCAAUUCUUGGUUUAAGGCCAUUUUUGUUUUGAUCAAAUACCUAUAUAUAUAUAUAUAUAUAUAUAGGGUCAUGUUAAAGUCCUUUUCUAUGCUUAGAUUUAAGUUCCAAUUUGAUUUGGAUCGUUGGAUCUGCUAGAUGAACGACGCUGAUUUAAGUCCUACUUAAACAUUCCGUAGUUCAUUAUUUCGUUUAU